ACGGAAGGCAGCAGUUAGGAAUAUUGGGCAAUGGAGGCAACUCUGACCCAGCAACGCCGCGUGAAGGAUGAAGGUCCUCGGAUUGUAAACUUCUGUAUUAAGGGAAGAAGAUAGUGACGGUACCUUAAUAGAAAGCUACGGCAAACUACGUGCCAGCAGCCGCGGUAAGACGUAGGUAGCAAGCGUUGUCCGGAAUAACUGGGCGUAAAGGGUGCGUAGGCGGUUUUUUAAGUCUGAUGUGAAAUCCUGCAGCUCAACUGUAGAACUGCAUUAGAUACUGGAGAACUGGAGUGCGGAAGAGGUUAACGGAAUUACUAGUGUAGCGGUAGAAUGCGUAGAUAUUAGUAAGAAGACCGGUGGCGAAGGCGGUUAACUGGGACGUAACUGACGCUGAGGCACGAAAGCGUGGGGAGCAAACAGGAUUAGAUACCCUGGUA
rnacentral:rRNA from 1 species